rnacentral:rRNA from 1 species
UACAGAGGGGGCAAGCGUUGUUCGGAAUUACUGGGCGUAAAGGGCGCGUAGGCGGCCUUCUAAGUCGAACGUGAAAUCCCCGGGCUCAACCCGGGAACUGCGUCCGAUACUGGGAGGCUUGAAUCCGGGAGAGGGAUGCGGAAUUCCAGGUGUAGCGGUGAAAUGCGUAGAUAUCUGGAGGAACACCGGUGGCGAAGGCGGCAUCCUGGACCGGUAUUGACGCUGAGGCGCGAAAGCCAGGGGAGCAAACGGG